UGACAACAAAAAUUUGAUCAAUUUACAAAACUGGUCAAUUGACACCUGAAAAUUGUACGAUUUACAACACUGUUCAAGUAAGCGCAACAUGAAUUUAUAAAAUUAUUUAAUGCAUUAAGAAGCAUUCCAAGUUUUAGGAUCUUCAAUGAAAUUACAUUUGCUAGCUGCAAGAAAAAUUCGCAACAUAAUUAGAUACCAACUUUAUUAUUGCAAAUAAAAGAAAGAAAAAAAACAUCCGAGUUCGCAGCUCUUCGAAACAAACCUAAAAUGCAAACAAACCACAAUCGUAAAAAAAAAAAAACAGAUUAAGUACGCGCUAGCCAUGCGGUGUUUCCUGAACUUGACCUCCACGCGAACUACAACAACAACAACAACAACAAGAAUAACAACAACAAUAACGUGUUGUGUGCACACGUCACGAAUCGGAAUCUCAGCUCGAAGCUACCUUCCGAAAUGCCGCUCGAGUUGAUGAGGGCUGAUCAUGCGCAGAGCCUCAAACGAGAUAUAUACGAAGUUCUGUAUACCCUUGCUGUGCUAGCCUUAUCAUGAAGUGUGUAGAACAUAGAAGAAGAAGACAUCUGACAUUCCAAGAAGCAUCUACGAAUUGCUGCAUACCCUUCCAGAAGCUAUUAUAACAUUGUCGUGAAGUGUGUGAACGACUUGAAGGACCCAUAAAGCAUAUACAUAUA